rnacentral:rRNA from 1 species
UAGGGANUCUUCGGCAAUGGGGGCAACCCUGACCGAGCAACGCCGCGUGAGUGAAGAAGGUUUUCGGAUCGUAAAGCUCUGUUGUAAGUCAAGAACGAGUGUGAGAGUGGAAAGUUCACACUGUGACGGUAGCUUACCAGAAAGGGACGGCUAACUACGUGCCAGCAGCCGCGGUAAUACGUAGGUCCCGAGCGUUGUCCGGAUUUAUUGGGCGUAAAGCGAGCGCAGGCGGUUUGAUAAGUCUGAAGUUAAAGGCUGUGGCUCAACCAUAGUUCGCUUUGGAAACUGUCAAACUUGAGUGCAGAAGGGGAGAGUGGAAUUCCAUGUGUAGCGGUGAAAUGCGUAGAUAUAUGGAGGAACACCGGUGGCGAAAGCGGCUCUCUGGUCUGUAACUGACGCUGAGGCUCGAAAGCGUGGGGAGCGAACAGGAUUAGAUACCCUGGUAGUCCACGCCGUANCGAUGAGUGCUAGGUGUUGGGUCCUUUCCGGGAUUCAGUGCCGCAGCUAACGCANUAAGCACUCCGCCUGGGGAGUACGANCGCAAGGUU